UCUAUAUUCUGUUCCAGACACUUUCUCAACUUGCUAAGAGGGAAUUUCUCAGGGAAACACUGGAAUACUUUCUUUUCCUUUUCAAGAUGAAAAAAUGUUGGCUAACGGCAGUUUGAAUCCCAAAAUAGAAGUGGAGCUUGUAUCUGAACAGAUGCACGUGUGCGUCGUUUCAGCUACUUUACCACAAGAAAAAGCUCACGUGCUCGUACGUACACGCACUGGAACACACUCACAUGCACACAGACACACAUUGACGGGGGAACAAUAGACGUAGAGGGGACACCUGCUCGCCUGAUACAGCCUCCUCCUCCUCCUCCUCCUCCUUCUCCUCCUCCUCCUCCUCUUCAUCCUCUCUCCCCCAUUAGGAUUCAGUUCAGGGUUCGUCUCCGUCUCCGUGAGUAGGUUAGCCAUGCGUGUCAUGGCGGAAUCCAGUGAAUGAUAAUGAACUAAGCAAGUGUGUGUGUGUGUGUAAGGGAGGAGGUGGCGUGCUUGCUGUAUCACUCCCUCCAUCCAUCCAUCUAUUCCUCCUCCACCGCUUCCUCGUUGGCGGUGUGUCGGCUGGAAGGACGGCCCCCGUGCUCUGACACACUCGCAUACACGCAGACACACACCUCCGCGAUGUGUCACUACCCAUUCCACCUGCCUCUCUUCCCGUCAUUCCCCGCUCUCCGCUCCAUCUACCUACGCUUGCUCUUUUCCCUCCUUUUUUUUUUUUGUGCUCUCUCUCAGUCUUUCUCUCCAGCCCUCCUUGUCCUCAACCUCCCCCCCACCCCACCCCUACGCUGUGUGUCACCGCUGCCGGGGAAGAAAGAAAAAUGCUCCGGCCGACAAAAGUGAGAAGAGAAAAAGGGAGAAAAGAGUCAAAGAGGAGAAGAUAGCGAAAGCUGGAGUGUGAUUGGAGCGCAGCGAUGCCUCCGUCCACCUUGAGCCAGACUCUUCUUUGAUGGAAUACACCCCGGACAGCGGAGGGCAGCAGGAGGGAGAAGAAGAAGAAGAAGAAGAAAAAGUAGAGGACUGACAGAAGAGGACUGAGAAGGCAGGAGGACCAGCGCUCGCCUCAGGAGGCUCCAUCCAGUCCAGUCUCAUUGUCCUCACACACACACCUCGCCUCCCUCCGAGUGUGAGCGUGCACGCGAGUUGUGUGUGCAUGUGUCUGCUGUGUGAGGACGGCCAUUUCUACGCCACAGCAGUGCAGCGGAGCGCCAGGUUCCACUCUGAGGUUAACGUGGAUGCGGUGCGUCCGAUAGGCCAUGCCCUUCACCUGCGCCUGCUUCUGUGGCCUGAACGGCUUCUGCCGCCCACGCAAGAAGAAGAAAAAGGAGCAAGUGGAGGAAGGGCAGGGUGAGGUUGAGGAGGCGGAGCGAUGGAGGGAUCAGGAGACAGUGGUGUGACGAGGGCUGCGGCUCUCCUCACCUCCAACGGGGGUUUUAUCCUUUAACAGACUGGGAUGCUCAUAUACAGACUGUCUGGUAUUAUGCAUGACGGGGAUACAAUAACAGGGAUGGUAACGGGGCUUCAGGAGAAACAGGCUUUUAUUAAUAAUCCAGAAUUCAUUUUUGAACCAGA